UUGUGCCAGGUCCUCUUCCACAGCGUGUAGCAGCUUGGGGUUAGCUUCAUUAUCCUCAGCCUUCCUGCCACGUUUGCUGAAACGGGUGUCCAUCUAGCUACAGUUGUGGUCUGUAAGCAUCAUAAAAGUUUCCCAAAGUAUGUACGUAAUGGCUCAAUAUUCACCAAGUCUCACAUCCCUCUGACAAAAUGGCUUGAGUUCAUGCACAGGUCUGCAUUGCUGCUGUCAAGCGACAGAGGAAAAGAUGUAUGAGGAUUGGUGGUCGUCAUCAAGUUGUUGUUAUUGACGAGAGCAAAUUUGCCCACAAACGAAAGUACCAUCAUUGUCGAUGUGGCAACACUUGGCGCCGUGAACGGCAGUGGGUCUUUGGGAUGUUGGAGGUCGACAAGAAGUCCAGAAGACCCAUUCUGAGACUUGUCAGGGAUCGCAGAAGGAAGACACUUAUAGGUCAUAUUAGACGCCAUGUCAGACCCAGAACAUCCAUCCUCAGUGAUGAAUGGCGUGCCUACAAAGGGCAACUUGCCCAGUAUGGGUAUGAUCAUUAUUCGGUCUGCCAUAAAAACAACUUUGUGGACCGAGAGACUGGUGCUCAUACUCAGCAUAUUGAGCGUGCAUAGUAAAGCUACAAGCUGGAAGUAUGGCGUCACAGAGGGAAUCGUACUCCUGAAUCACUCAAGCUUCAUCUUAAGAUGAUAGAAUGGCACCACUGGUUGGGUGUACACCAUUACAAUGGCGUGUUGGGCAGACUUUUCCAUGAUUUUUUUUUUUUUUACUUUACUUUUUACUGAUGUGAAAAAACUUGUUUUUU
ensembl:lncRNA